rnacentral:rRNA from 1 species
CGUGGCUUGUCGGGAGCAGCUACCGCGAGCCGGGGCAGCGAGGGGGCGGGGCAGCGGCCGGGAGGGGGCUGGGCAGCGGCCGGGAGGGGGCGGUGGGACAGCGGCCGGGGCAACGAGGGGGCGAGACAGCGGCCGGCGCAGCGAGGGGGCGGGGUAGCGGCCGGGAGGGGGUGGGGAAGCGGCCGGGAGGGGGAGCAGGUGCUGGGCGGGGUAGCUCCAGGUCCAGGCGCUGCCUAGGCGGAUGUGGCCGCAGAAGGUCUGGCGGACGGAGCUGCGGCCUAUGUUACGCGAAGGGGGAGAGGAGGGAGAGAUGGCAUCUAAAGAAAACCAGACCAAGUCCCAACCACAGCCCGGGACCCUAGUGUGCUUACCGCGAGCCCGGCACUAGACCGACGACCCACCUCUACCACCUACGGCGCACGGAUCACGGAUCACUGUGCUGGACCAAGUAGAGACAAAAAAAGACCCUCUUACCCAACACUAGGCGAACAAGCAGCUGUCCGGGGCCAGCGGCCCUACGGCGCAAAACAAUCAUAAAGAACGACCCCGACGUCGGCUCCCUCUACGUAUCACCUGUCGCCGUCUCGCCCAGCCGUCUUCGCACCAGCCUCCGCCCCACCACCACACUACCGACCCGCCGCGCACGUACACAACGGCACAACCCCGAUACCACCGAACACACACCAGAGACGAUCCGUUACUCUCUAAAUUUCACUCUACUAAUUCUCCAGGCCGCGGAACUCGAGCGUGGGCUGGCAGGGCGCGGUGAUCUAGGGAGGCCCAUCGCCGAAGGUCAACGGACCGUGGCGGGCGAGGAGCUGGAGCGCGGGUAAGUCCCCGCGGAGCACAGCAGCCCACAACUCUCGACGUUCAUGUAAUUUAAACAGUGGUGUUGGGAAGAGACAAAGUAGGAGUAUGAUGUAGCAGUAUGCGGUGGCAACUGAAGGACGGCUUGGGGGCCAACCGUCCUUUACUGACUUGAGCACUACGAGAAAGAAGGUCGCUAAAGCAAACGACCAGACGAGAAGCGAGAAUGAGAAAGGUCAUAAAAAAACAUAUCGUCAAUCUAUAACCUCCAUCGACACACGAUAGAUACCUGGUAUACCAUGACGAGCCUUGUUGGACUAACGCAACGAGGUUCACGUUAACUUUAAGCUUGUGUGGUGUAACGAGCCGACGUAAAAUAUUCUUUCUUCAAUCCUCUUGGUAACUGACUAAAGUAACCUCCUUACUCCAUGUCACCAAUAUACGUACCACUAAUUUAGUUCAAAAAAAUGGAUAUGAAGGUUGGACAUCCACAUAAACACAGAUACGAGGUACCGCAGCUAGACAUUUAGAAGGCUACGAUAAAACACGGUAUACCCGUUUGUGAUUCAAGACUCCUUCUCUACAGUAUACACAUGGUAUACCUGUUUGUGAGAUGUAAGAUUUCCUGCCCGUCUUGCACGUAGGGGACCAAUACAAAUAAAUAAAUGGUAAGUAAAACAAUUUGUAUAAAUUCACGUGAACUUUACAACAACAGAACUUAUCAUCUUCAAGACCUUACUUUCCUUUAAAGUCAUGAGGUAUCCAAACCACUAGUUAACAGCAAGAAAAAUUACUACCAUCUGUAACAACCUGUCCCUUUAAGGGGGGAAACAGUACAAAAGUACAAUCCCUGAUAAUUUUUAUUUAAUAUGAUGGUACAAGACAAAAAUAUAGAUAAUGUGACAUGACAGGAACACUAAUAUUAGUGUUUACUAUUAGAUGUAUUAGGUGGUAAACUUUGCUAAUUAUCGAGAACGGUCUUUUCUCCUACUUGUAUUUUUAUAGAAAGACGUCAAAUCUGUACAAACGUACCGGGGAAUACAUAUGUAAUGGUUACGUCAUGACAAAUAAUAGGUACUAAAAAAUAAUGAUAAUAAUAAGAGAAAAUCACUCCUCGAACUAUCCUUCUCUAGAGUUCGCGCUAGAGUUCGCGUGCGUGAUAUGCUCCGAAGUCCUCCUUCCUAAGAUACAACAAGAUAAUAGAGGGGAAGAUCUUGUCAAAAUUGUACCAGGGAGACAUCAAGAAAGACAUAUACAUGGAACGUAUCCCACAUCAAGUACCACUAUUAAGGUAACAUACAAAUAGUUAUGUGGUGUAGUUAGAAUAUUGAUCGAUCUUCUUCGCCGGAUGGAGUACGAGGGUAAACUCAGAACACACGUUCGAGUAUAAUACUUUACUAUAUUCGUACGAACUAAGUUCCUUCAACGACCAGACUACAGUACAAUAUGUUGAACAGGACGAUGUAAGGACUUCAUGAUUUUUUACCUUUUAUUACGUAAAGGAAGAUUAAGUAUAAAAAUAAAAACUAACAUGAUACUUACAUAUACUCUAAUAGUAUAUAAAGCGUCUUGCUAGCGGGACCAGCGACCAAAUAAGGAGACAAUUAGAUAAAGUUUAUAGAAAUUAGUCUCAGUUUCGUACUGUAUUAUCAACCCACAAAUGGACACAAAAAAGACGUAGAGGUAGGUCUAAACACAGGGUCUAGUACCUCCUUAAUGGGAGAGACGACCACGCAAAUAUCACGUAAUAAACAUCAAGAUAACCCUUCUGUCAAUCUCUGGGGCUCUCCGACGACGCUCGACGAUAAGGGGAGGAGCUCGACCGCCUGACUACUACCUCCUGGGCGGGAGAAGCGACGUGGCCGCGGCGGCGACGGUGAAGACGAAGACAAUGGGCAACCGGGACCCGCCGCGUACAGGAGACGAAGAUUCCGAAGAAGACGACUACCAGAAGUUCCACGACGACGACGAGGGUUCGACACCGACCGAAGCGACGACGUCGUGGUACGGCAGAAGUCGCUGAGUGGUUGCUGCCGUCGAGGAGGCGACGUCCCGAUGACGCCGUACGCACAGAGGGAGGAGGUCCCUCCGACACGCCGUGGCUCGCCCACAUGCCGCUCCAGAAGCAUUACCGCAGUUCAGUGGGAACGGUAUACCUAGUAUAUAAACGAAGUCUAGUGCCUUCGAACCCAACUACCUCACGAACAGAAAUCAAAAACAAAACUCAAACACUUUGAACGAUGGAUACUACUUUGACACAUUAUAACUACUUUGAUACAUAUACAUACCUACUUUGAACGAUGAUAACCAUUGUACACAACCUAUACACAAGCUAUAUAUACACAAGUACUGAUAACCAUUAUACACAACUUAUACGAUAUAACC